AGCUCAUUUGGUAGAGUGCUUGCCUCACAUGCAUAAGAACCUGGGUUCAAUCCCCAG
rnacentral:tRNA from 1 species